UUUAUCUAUACCAAGAAUCAAACGUCUGCGGUUUAGGGGUGAAUUUCAAAAGUAACAGUUUCUAGAAAAGUUAUUAAGAAUAUAGCACUAUAAUGUCGGUAAUGUAGUAAGUAGGACUAGAUAGUGAAAAGACAACAAACUCCACUACCCCAGUUAAAGGGGAAGAGAGAGAGAGCAAAGUUGGGAUUAAUAUAGUUAAAUAGGAAAUAUACAGAAUAUCACUUUUUUUUU
rnacentral:sRNA from 1 species